AGACCCGAAACCCGGUGAUCUAGCCAUGGGCAGGUUGAAGGUUGGGUAACACUAACUGGAGGACCGAACCGACUAAUGUUGAAAAAUUAGCGGAUGACCUGUGGCUGGGGGUGAAAGGCCAAUCAAACCGGGAGAUAGCUGGUUCUCCCCGAAAGCUAUUUAGGUAGCGCCUCGUGAAUUCAUCUCCGGGGGUAGAGCACUGUUUCGGCUAGGGGGCCAUCCCGGCUUACCAACCCGAUGCAAACUGCGAAUACCGGAGAAUGUUAUCACGGGAGACACACGGCGGGUGCUAACGUCCGUCGUGAAGAGGGAAACAACCCAGACCGCCAGCUAAGGUCCCAAAGUCAUGGUUAAGUGGGAAACGAUGUGGGAAGGCCCAGACAGCCAGGAUGUUGGCUUAGAAGCAGCCAUCAUUUAAAGAAAGCGUAAUAGCUCACUGGUCGAGUCGGCCUGCGCGGAAGAUGUAACGGGGCUAAACCAUGCACCGAAGCUGCGGCAGCGACGCUGAUGCGUUGUUGGGUAGGGGAGCGUUCUGUAAGCCUGUGAAGGUGGCCU
rnacentral:rRNA from 1 species